rnacentral:lncRNA from 1 species
UGAACAGAGGACGCCCCGCUGUCCGAAGACUCCAGAGAGGAGCGUGACGGAAUCCCUCCCUCCCUCUGCCUCAGCCUCUGGCCUGGCUGCUGCCUCUAGACCCGCUCGGGCCGAAGUCUCCCUGGUGCUGCCGCCAGGGACACGCUUCUGAGUCAGCUCCGCCCGGCCUUCCUGC